GCUGAAAGGAAUGGAGACAGAAACAGAAAUCACCAGUCAGUCUGCGCGUGGGUAGGGCUGAAGCUCAAGACAUUUUACCAGUGUCACUGGCACACAGUCUGAGAUGUCAAGGCUUGAAGACUUCUCUCAAAACCAAUGUUUACAACAGAAGUAUCCCAUCAAGCUCAGGGCUGGACAGCCUGUAUUCUAAUGAGGACUCAGUCCUGGGUCAGCUCCCAUACUCCUCCUUCCAGCCAAUAUACUUCCAGCACCUUCCUGCCCAAUGUGCCACACCUGCUAGUUCACAUUUUCUCAGCCAAGCACUCCCACCUACCAUUCACGCUACCCAAUUACAAUUAGUCUGGAGGCCCCAAAGCUAGCUGUUUCUAGCUGGGGCCCAUUUGCACCAAAGGCCUUUACCAAAGCAUCACAGAAAAAGUAUGGCCAUGAGGCCCAGAGAAGUUACCUGGAGGAGACAGGCAACAGGAGAAGGGAGAAAAGAACAAAGGCAAGAAAGCUAGUAAGGGCCCAAGGCCACAUGAAGAAGCAAAACAGGCUUCACAUGUGUUCCUCCUCUCUGACCUCUGUUGCAGCAGCUGACUGGAUGCUUUGGGAGGGUAGAGAGAAGAGGUGAAUGGGAAAGUAUGGAGGAAGGGCCUGGGAAGAAAUAAGAAUCCAUUCAGGGAAAACUGCUCCAGUGCCUUGGCCCAGCUGAUCUGCUUCAACAAGUCUAUUGAACAGUGUAACCAUCUAGGCAUACGAUUCUGGAGACUACUGGAGAAAUGACCACCUUCUCUUCCUGCCUGUUUGAAUGAUACACAGGAGGGCCAAUAGAACUGUAGAUGGUUGAGAAGCCACCACAGGAAAAGGAGAAAAGCCAUGUCACAAACGGAAUAGCCCAAGGUACUGACACCAAUUUCUAACACAUCACAACCUACUCGAAGCACCACUGUCUAUGGAUAGCAAGGGUCUCUGACCAUGUCACCAGGCCCUCAUGGACUAGGCCCCAUCCUUUAUCAUACUCACCCCUAAUCUACCACCACUCCCUGCAACACCUUCACUGACCCUAGAGCCUAAUACCCUCCCCUGACCCAUAGCUAUCUCCUGGUUUAAGUCUUCAGUUCCAAGGUAAUGGAAGAGGGUGUUGCUACGGAUGGUACUCCAAGCUUCAGGUAUGUUGAGACUAGCAAGACAGCAGGGAAAGACACCAUGAGGGGUGGGGUGCAGAGUGUGCUGGAUGAUGGAAGCUGAGAAAAGAAAAGAGGAUCCCACAGGCAACACCUCUGUAUUCACCACAUCCAAGAAACUAGAUGGUAUAUACAUCUCUUCAGAGGACACCAAAAUGCAAAAUCAAAACAGUCCUAAAGCCCUUCAGUAUUUCAUCUGGACCACUCUGCCAGAAAGCUGGAGAAGGAGUUCCAUAACAUAACCCUGAGAAAAAAACACUCUGAAGCCCAGAUCUGGGGGAAGACUGCUGAUUUCUGGCUAUCGAGGCACCGUGUUCACUAUCAAAACCCUCAUAUUUCAGAUGAAAAGAACAAGACUGCUUCAAGUUGCCAAUCCGAUAAAUCUCCAUUAAUAUGGGAUAGCCAAGGAGGAAGAUUCCUUCAGCAUCACAUCAUCCAGUGUCCUCAGUGCACAUAAGACACCAGAGAAGAUAUGUGUGACUCCAAAAAGCUUAGUAAAAACUUGAUUAAAUUGGCACAAACGAGACAGAGUAGAUUAUGCGUUCUAAACUUGGGACAUGGCUCUGUCUCCACUAGGCAAUGGGCCUUCUAAGUUUUAGGUUUGGGGCCAGAGCGAAAAGAUCAGUGGGGCAAGGAAGGAAUAUCUAGAGAUUUCCUCAUCUCCAUGGCUUCAGGCUUUUAGGAGAAAGAUUCAGGUCAGAAAGCCUUAAACUGUGUACCUUCAACUGAUGGUCUAUGUAAGAGGUUCAAAUUUUAAGAGAUUUCACGAAUCUCUACUAUUUACCAAGCCCUGCCCUAGCCAUGCUACAGUAGCUCAACACACUCACAAUUCUGUGACCUCCUUGUUCCCCCAAGACUUACUCAUACAACUCUGGAAUCACACAGGCCCUGUGGAAUUAUGGUAACACACAUCAGACGUGUGACCCUGGGCCUGUCAGUUGAACUCCUGGAACCUCAGCUUUCCACAACAGAUGGUUACAAGAAUUAAAUGAAAUACCAUAUUCAUAGAAAAAGCUUACCAUUGGGCCUGACCUAUAAUAGAUGCUUAAUAAAUACAAGUUCAUUCCUUCCCUCCCAUUCCAGAUCCAGUGCUCUUGAGAACAAUGUUACAGUCAGAUGAUGAACUGGGGCAGUCUGGCUGCCCUGAAUAAGAGCAUAUCUUUCUAGCUUGAGUCCACGCUAAGUGGUCAGAACCUGAGUAACACUAAACAUAUACCUGUUGACUGACUGGCUCAUAUUGGGUGUUGUGGAAGGACAUAGCACUGGGAGCCCGGAGGCCUGGGUGGGAGCUCUAGCUCCUACCCUAGCUUGUUGAAUGGUCUUGACCUCUCUGGGCCUCAGUUUUCUCAUCUGUAAAACAAGGGGAAUAAAUCAGACAUUCUGAUUCUACUUUUUUCACAUUACUGUGAUGUGUCAAACCUUCCCAAGCCCCUCUGCCAAGGUCCUGGGCUACAGGGAUAACUAAGUGCUUCGCUAGUUUCUGUAGUUUUUUUCCUGGCUAUGUGUAGCUGUUUUUCUGUGACAUGACUUGUCAACACAUAUAAGCAACAACAACUUAUUCUUAAUUGAGUAAGAAACAGGGACCAGGAAUGCAGUAGGCUCAUGUUUGGUAAGAUACCACACAAAAUGUAAAAUGUGGAGCUAAUUCAACCAGAAACUAGGACUGCUGUGGGAAGCAGGAGCGCUGCUUUAACCCCAGGUAACAGGAACACAUUUUGAAGGCAAGGUGGCUUUUGGAGCGGUUCUCCUUUGGUGAACGGGAAGUAAUCAAUUCAGGCCAUCGUCGGGGGAAUUGGCUGACUUGUGUCUAAUCCUUGCAGGACCCUGGAGGUGAAGGUCCAAUUUAGCAAAGAUGGCUGGAUCCAGAGAAGAUGUGAGGACAGAGAAGGAGAAACAAGAGAGGUUCUUGGGGUCAAGAAUAAUGGUACUGACCAGGCUGCUUUCCUGCCUCUUCCAAACUGGAAUUCCCAUCUCGAUCUGGAACAGCUGCUGGAAGGAACAUGCUGCUGGGCAUCACCAUCUCAGGAGUGGUCACCUGAGGAGCAAGAGCAAGGACAGUCAAAUGGAGAGGAAAGAGACACAAAAUAGGAAAUGUUUAAAAAUUAUUUAAUAAGCAAAAUUACCCUUCACCAGUAUAAAGCUAGAGGUGUCACUUUUCAUAGCUCACUGAAGAUUCAUGUUUAUUAGACAAAGCUCACAUCAGUCAAAAGUGUUUCUACGGUUACAUUCUGGACAUAAUUAGCAGUGCACACUUGAAGAAUAAUCUUAUUAUUAAUAUUUUUCCUUUAUGCGGAAUUUUGACUUUGAUCACUGACAAUGUUUUGUCAUGGGCUGUGAAACUUCUUGUGCAACCAAUUAGGUAGAUAAGUUGAAAGGCCCACCUUAAGCUGCUGAAAACAUAAUAAGGGCCCUAAUUAAAUCAUACCUAGUAAAGUACACUGUAAUCUUGAAGCAGAGAGCAUUGUAGUACUGUUUUCAAAAUGUAUUCAGGCAAGAAGAGGAGGGAGUAAGAGUGAAGGAAAGGGUAAGAAGAAAAGAAGAGAACAAAGGGAAGGCUAAGGACACGCAGACAUGCUAGCAGAUUUUCCAGGAAACAACAUUUGUAACCCUUUACAAGCUGAUAUCAAGCACAAGCAAGCCAUUUUUUUGUGACUCACUUAAGCCCACGAUUUCUUCUGGACUCUCUGCCCAAGGUACACAACAUCAGAGGGAACCUCUGGCCAAUGUCCCAGCCAUAGAGGGUGGCCUGCACAGCAUUCUAUAACAGGGUAGCCACACCUUGACCAUGGCCAUUGUUUCUAAACAUAGUAAUUCUGGAAAUUGCCUGGAUGCAAAUAGCUGCAAUUUUAUGGCAGAUCCUCAGAUAUUUCUCUAGGCCUCCCAGCCAUACAGCCAGAAGCCUGUCCAGACAAGUUAUCAUUUGCCCUAUGUUAAUGUGAUCAACAGUCUUCGAUACCAAUGGAAGGAUCAAAUGUUCUUCAUUCAAACAGAAGCAACAUCCUUUUGCCUGAUACGGGGUGGGAAGGGUAGGUGGCGAUAUUUCAAAUGAAUCAGAAACCACCUCCCAUUUGAUGACAGCUGGAGAAAUGGACUGACGCAGAAGUUACAGGACCAGAAACUACAAUCACCACUAACCUUUCUACAUGGCUCCCAGCCCCACUUGGAGACAUUUUUCCAUCAAACACAACCAUACUGCACAGCCAUCUUCACUAUCUGUUGCAAAGACUGGAAUACUUAGAUUUCUCUUCAAAAUUAAUGUUUUAAAUACAUUACUAUUAAUUUUUAAUGGUGUGAAAAUCCUAGCCUUGCCCAAAAUAGCUACUGACAUGUCCAUUAGAAUAUCAGCGAUAGGCUUGAUGACUAGAGGAAACCCAGACAGCCACCCUCAUCAACAUAAGAUAACUCCCCAUCACAUUUAGGGGUAUUAAAAUUAUUUUAGCAACCCAGAUGCCAACGGGUGCAAAAAGUAAGCCACAGGCUCUAUGGAGAACCACUCUGAGAAACACUAUGUUUAUGAAGAGCAGGUGUGUGGCAGGUGAAUGUGUGUGACAUCUCAUUCUUGCCCCCACAGACAUCUGCGCCACACACAAAGCUCAUCGGCAGCUGGUUAAAGCUAGCUGUUGAUGAAUCGUUAGGAAGGGAGUGGAGAUUGCCAAACUCAUUCCAUCUAUUUUCUUUUUAAUAGAAGGUAUUUCUGACCAGUGUGGUUGGGGAGUCCAGCGGGAAUCCAAGAAGUGAAAGGUCACCGAUUAAUUUAUAGUCUUCAGCCGAGGGGGAGCACGAGGUUGGGGGUAAGAGGGGGAGAAAGGGAAAGGAAAAAAGACUCCCCCCAACCUCCUUUCUCGGUUGUAGCUGCAGGAUCAGUCUUUUCCCGGGAUCUUUAGGAAUUAUGAAAAAUGAAUCAUGAGAAAUAAAAAAAAAGCCCUACAGAGUAAAAAAGAAUAAAAUUAUCUAACACCUCAGCUGCACAUCAUUAUAGAAAACUGUGGGCUUUUCAUACGCAUUACAGUAAGGCAGACAUCCCCUCUAACAGACUCAGUACGACGGAUCAGUAAUUGUUUUCAUACACUUUAAUUAGAAAAACUCAGAUGGCUAUGAAUAAUAAUGGAAAAGAGAGACUUUUGCACUUGAAAGGUUGAAGUCAAUCAAGUGUGAAUGACGGCAAAAAAGAAAAAAAAAAAAAAAGACACCAAUUCAUCAGUCCUCUGUUGUCUCGCUGAGACUUUAAUCAUAAUUCCUGAUUGGGAUUCAAGAAGGCAGUAAGCAGCGGUUCUUUGUCUGCCUUCACCUUCCAUCAAUUAAGUCUCCCCGAAAUAUAAUCAUCAACCUCACAUCCUCCUCUGCAUCUUAAUCUGGGCCUCCAAACCUGUAAGCCAUGCCCCAUAUGUGUUUAAGUAACUACUUUUAUCCACCUGCAUCUUCUCAUCUAUAGUGUACCCCACCUCUCCCUGGAAAAAAAAAAAAAAAAGGCGGCAGGUUGGUAUAUGAAAUUUUCAUGGGCAAGAAAUUCCCAGGAGGCAAAGAGGAAGAUCCCUAAAGAGAAUCCUGAGGAUCUAGAAAUUCAAGUGGGGUCUAUCUGCACAUGUGUCUGAACAGAGGUUAAGAAUGGAAGCUACUGGAGGGCCUGAUGUCAGCAAUCAGACACUAAUUCCCGUGCCUUUGCCCAUUCUUCCAUCUCCUACCAGCUUCCAAAGCUUUUCACUCAAAGCUUUCAUGCUUUAUCUUAAAA